rnacentral:lncRNA from 1 species
UGAAAUUUGCCAUACCUUAGUAACUACUUGUUUGUUUGUCUGUCUGUCUUUUGUGGUUAGAGCAUCUCUAAUGGUGAGGGUGCUUACACAUUUUUUUACAUUAAUUUUUAUAAAAUAAAUUCAUAAGCAACUUUAUCUUGAUGUUAAAAAUAUUGGUGAUCCAAUGGUAUGAAUCUUAAUGAAGUGUUUAAAACAAAAACAAAAUUUAUUCUUCAGUUGGAUCUUCGAUUGAGCUGCUCUUAUAAACCCUCUUGGACCAAACCACACAUUGAUUCUUCAGUUGGAUCUUCGAUUGAGUCAACAUUUCGGAUCCGAUCUUGAAGUUUUAUCACCACCGAUUAAACCAUCGGUCAAGAGAGAAAAUGAUUACGAAGAUAAGAGAAGAAAAUAACACGUAUACCCCUCUCAAAUUACCAGAAACUGAUUCGUUUUCCAUGCUUUCUUCAUCCAUGGAGAGAAAGAGAGAGAAACUAGGGAGAGAGAGACUCCGGAUAAAGAGAGAGAGAAAGUUUAGAAUUUUUUUUUUCUAUUUUCCUUCCACCCAAUAAAAAUUUGACACCUAUGCAUCGCUUAUCUGUUGCUUAAACUCCCAAAUUAAACAACAAUCCUUGCAAUUUUAUCAAUGUUAUGCAUUUUAUUCUAUACAUACAUUCUUAAGCUAUUGAACAAGCACAUAUUAAACACCUCCAUUGGAGGUG